rnacentral:rRNA from 1 species
UACGUAGGCAGCAAGCGUUGUUCGGAUUUACUGGGCGUAAAGAGUGCGUAGGCGGUCCUAUAAGUUCCGGGUGAAAUCUCCGGGCUUAACUCGGAACGGCCAAGUGAAACUGUCAUGCUAGAGUGCAGAAGGGGCAAUCGGAAUUCUUGGUGUAGCGGUGAAAUGCGUAGAUAUCAAGAGGAACACCUGAGGUGAAGGCGGGUUGCUGGGCUGACACUGACGCUGAGGCGCGAAAGCCAGGGGAGCAAACGGG